CGCCGAGACCGGACGCGGAGAUGCCCACCCUGGGGAGGGGAGCGGGGCGAGGCGCCCCCUGGAAGAGCCUGUCUAGGGCCUUCGUGGGUGGAGGGCAGCAGGCAGCCUAGGAGAGCGGGGCAGGGCUCUGGAAGCACCCUGGCAUGCUGGGGGCGGGCUCAGGUCCAGGUCCGUGUCCUCGGGGAGCGCGCUGGGGCCGGCUGGGGAAGGCGCCCGCCUGCGUCUAACCUCUCCCGCUCCCCUCUGCGUUUCCUGCCUCAGGGAGAAAGUGUCUGCAGCAGGAGUGUUUGGGAAGAGGCUGUCCCCGCCCUGGUGGGCGGUGGUCCCCCAGAGCCCCCUCCCCCAGUUCUGGGAGCUCCUCUCCUGCUGGGCUCUCUCCUGAGUCCUCCUUGAACUUGCCUUCAGCUGGAGAAGCCAGCCUCCCCAGAGUCACCCGCCUUUGCCAGCUGCCUCUAUUCCCCAUGCCCGGCAGACACGGUGGGUGAAGCCUGGUCGCCUUGUCUCCCCUGGGGCAACUCCAGGGCCCCCCAGCUCCAGAGCUGCUGCAGGAUGGGGGGCUGUGAGCUCCCUGUCUCCUCUCCAGGUCACCUCCCUGCAGGGGGCCCUGUGAAGGUCUGUGACUGCUGAGCACCUUCUUUCCUUCCAGCCCCCCUCCCCGAGAAGGGGGGGAGUUCCGUGUGCCACACUCUGUCCACAGGGCUAGGUUCCUCUUCUUUUGGACAGUUUGUUCAAAAGACAGAAAAGAAAUGAACAGCAGGAAGAAGACUGGGUGUGUGUGCUCUCUGCAGGCUGAAUCAGGGUGAUGAGCUAGGGGAGGGGACCCCACUUUAUAUAGGGUGGCCAGGCAGGGCCUUCUGAGCAAGUGACAUUUAAAAAGAAAUUUGAAUGACAAGGAGGAGCCAGCAAGUCUGAAGAAUGAACUAAAGAAAUUUCCAGACAGAGGGACAGCAGGUGCAAAGACUCGAGGUGGUACAAGUUUGUCAUGUUCAAGGGACAGAGAAGAUGACAUGGGUGGCAGAGGGGAGAUGGCAGCAGGGCCAGAUCAGGUUGCAGGGCUUUGUGCCCCAGCAGAAAAAGCUGGGAUCUCCUUCCAGGGGCCAGGGGAUGGCAUGUGGGCUGGGCUAAGCGGGAGUGACUGAUGUGAUGAAAAAAUAUUUUUAAUUAAAUUUAAAAAAAUUUUUGUGCUGGGGAUCAAGCCCAGGGCCUUGAGCAUGCUAGGCAAGCAUUGUGCCACCAAGCUGCACUCCCAAUUCCUGAAGUUUUGUUUCUUUUAAGUUGUAGUAAAAUAUACACAAUGUAAAACUCACCAUUUUGACCAUCUUUAAGUGGAUAGUUCGGUGGCAUUGAAUACACCUGCAGUGUGUACCAACAUCACCACCAUCUAUCUCUGAAAUAUUUUUAUCUUCCCAAAGUGUCCUCAUUAAACACCAACUGCCCUCCCCCAGCCCUUGGGACCCCACUCUAUUUUCCUUCUCUAUGAAUUUGAUUGCUCUAGGGACCUCCUGUGAGUGAGGCCAUGUAGCUAGCGUUUGUCCUGUUGUGACUCGCUCGUGCCCCUUGGCAUCGUGUCUCCCAGGGUCAAUCUACGUGUGCAUCAGAAUUUCCUUCCUCUGAAUGGUGCACCUAACCUUCUCACUGGGCUCUGGUCACAGGCAUCUUCUGCCUACACGCCUCUGACCUCUAUGUCUAAGCCCCUGUCUGACCCGGGCUCCCUGGUUCCACUUUCCCCUUCUGUAAAAUGGGGUGACAGCAGCACCCUCCCAGGACUGGCGCGGGCUGGUUGAGAUAAUGGAAUGAAGGGCUUGGCAUGGAGCAUGCACCUGGAUUCUAGGUGGAAAGUGGGGGAUCACAAACCUUGGCACAAAGGGUCUAGGCGCAGUGAGUCUCCGUCAGCAAGGUCUGGGGUAACCCUCCUGAAAUCUGCGCACCCAGACGCCAGCCAGGGCCGGCCUCCCAGAAGCCUUUCUGCGGACGGAGGUCUGAGGUCUGCCACAGGGCUCUUCACUGCAAGAUCAUUUCUUCCAUGCCUAGGACGUAUUGCCUUCAUGCUGUGCCCUGUCAGGUGACAUGGAGUCCAGGUGGGAGUUGGGGUCCCUCAGGCUGUGUUCCCAGGGCAGAGGAAGCCUGGAGUCUCCCUGAGAAAGGUAGACGGGGAGCAGCAGCCCUGGCUUAGGCGGGUCGUGCCCCUUGGGCACAAGGGCCCCUUCUGUGAAUGUGUGCACACACACCACAGGCCUCUGGGGUUCCUCCAGGUACCUCGGAGGAAGCCUCUGAAAUGACCCCAGGGACUGGCCACUGGCCAGCUCAGAACCACAACCCGUCGUUAAUAACUCACUUUGCCCGUCUGCUCUUUUGGGGCACUGUUGGUCCAUGAGAAGCCCGUGAGGCUCCCAAAUGUGGGCUGGCAAGUCGGGCAUCAGGAAUCACCCGUCCAUGCGAAGCGCUCUCAGGCACAGAUGUGUGGUGGCCAGGGCGGAGGAGGGAGCCACGGCCCAGGCUGAGUGGUGGGCUCUGGGCUCCUCCUGUUGCCUGCUGUGGGUCUUGGUCUCUGGUACCCCUUCCCUCCGCUGCUGUCUAGGGUUCCUCACUGGCCACCCUCUCCACUUGUGGAAAUUGGAGGCCCAGAGGAAUGAGGUGCUUGGUCUCCUGACACAGCCAGGAAGAGGUGGUACUCUGGAUGGGAGCCCCUCAGGCCUCUGAGCUCUGCUGUCCACCCUGAGAGGUGUAGUUCCAGGAGCAAGGCACUCCCCCCACCCCCACCCCUGUUCUAGCUCAGGGACAGGAUGUUUGCCCCCAGGUGGCCAUGAGCCACCAACUGUGAGCUCCUUAGAGACCUAGAAGGUGUGCUCAGGAGUUAAAGCUCCGCGUACGUACAACAGUGGUGCUUAAUUCUGCUGGUUGAUAUGCUCAUGCUCUCCUGGUGGCCAGGAUUAACACCGUGAAUUCUGUCAGCUCAUCAUCCCUGCGUGGUGGGUAGUCAGGUUCCACAAGGCCAGUCAGAGGGAGGAGGACUGACUGGUCCUCUUCUGGCCACGCAGGGUCAUUUUGGCUCCUUCCUGUGGCUGGACACAGGACUGUGACUCAGGUCCAACCCCACAUAAACGGCACUGUGGUAGGACGUUUCCUUUACUCUCUUCACUGCGGUAUCUGCAGCCUGCUGACCAGCACCUGGCACCCAGUAGGCCCUCAGUAAGCCAUGGGGGCUGGAGGGGCUGAGGAAGUGCCCCGGGACCCCAUCUAUCUUCCCGUCCUUGCCCAUCCCGGACUCCACUGAAGCUCGGUCUGUCCGCGUGAAAGCAGGAGUGCUCUUGGGCAGGGGAGGACAGCGCCUCCUUGACCUUCAUCCACGGAGAAGGCUGAUCCUAGGCGGCCCGGAAGCCACAGAGGCCAGCACAGCCUCCGGUGGGCCACCGGCGGGUUCCGGGAGUCGGCCUGAGCGAGCUACAGAGGCCCCUGGCUGAUGGAGAUAAGGUUGAUAAACAGGCCAGUACCUUCCCGCCACCCUCUUUUAGAGACCCGCUAUUCUUUAUGGCUUUGCUCAGGUAGAUCAUUCGGCGCCAUAAAUUUUCUUAUCUCCAGUGCUUUUCCAAUUAUGGAUAACAACAGAAAAGCCGUCAUUGGCUUCUAAAAGGUCAUCAAGAUAUAGAGCCCACGCGGGAAGGGGAUGACGGAUGCAGUUGGCUUGUAUAAAUCUCAAGAAGUUUUAUGCACGAGUCAGACGAGAAACUGUUUUACAUAUGGAUUGCGGGGAGCCGAGAAGUCCUUAUGAAGCCCUGCCCGUGGCUAGUGGCAUCCCAAGGACAUGUGGCAAUUGGUCUCCACCUCAUGGAACAGCUGGCUGGAAGAGGUCACGGAAACCACAGGUCUGCGGGACACCAGAAAUGCUGGCGUCCCAUGGACAGUCAACUGGCUCCUGGUGACACUGUCCUCCUGACAUGUGAGGGGUGGGACGUGUUGGUCUGGCUUUGAUUGUCCCAGGGCAGGUCUGAGCCCCUGCCUGGGAGCCAGUGUGGGUUCUCAGCCUCCCAGGGCAGGUCUGAGCAGCAGCUCUUGUAAGCACUUCCCCAGGGGCUUCACACGCACCAAGGAGGAGAGGAGGAGCACCUGUGUGGAGCUUCCUCCUCCCUCUGUGGAGAGUGCAGAAAGGUGAAGUGGCAGUUAGUGACACUGUGGCAACCUCUGCUUUGCAGGGACUUGCGAUAUUAUCAAAGACGGAACCGUGAUGCCAAUGUGGAGAGCGCCAGGCGGUGCAUCUCUCGGAAGCUGUUGAUGUAGGCUGAUCAGAAGGCGGACCCCAGCCUGAGGGUCGGCAUGAGUCAGCUUCUGUGAGGAGAUACUGGAGGCCGGCUUCUUGGGAAGACAAGGAGGGUUCUUGAGCUCACUGUUUUGGAGGUCAGGGGACCCCUUGCUUUGGUCCUCUGGUGAGGGUGGCCGUGCACGUUGGAGAGAAUGCCCUCUCCACCCACGGUCCCCUAGGUCCCCUGGAGGCUACGUCCCCAGUGACCCGAGGACCUCCCACCAGGCCCACAGCAUCUCCAGCAGGUCUACCCUGGGGACCAAGUCUUUAAAACACAAAGCCUGGGGACACUGCCUGUAUUCACACCAUAGGUCUCUGCUGCUCUUCAGCUGUCCCUUGCUGUGCCAAUGCAGCAGCUGUACCCACCCAGAGCAAGGCACAGAGGGGAACCUCAGACGCGAUGGAGUCCUGCACCGUGGUGCAGAGGUGGGCUGCUGAGUGUCCCACAGCUGGCCCCCUGGGGCAGUCCUGAUGGCCUCGUUUCCUCAUGCCCAUGAUGAAAAUACUCCCGCUGUGGCCAAUUUCAAGGGCACUCUGCUGACCUUGGAGCCAGGUGGGCUGUGCCAAUGGGCUGUCUCAAACUGGGCUGAGCCAACCCAGCACCCACUCCACCUGCCGCCCGGGGAAUGGGCUGCAGUGAGGCGGAAAUGGCCCAGGUGACAGCAGGAGCCGGCAGCCACCUCAGGGCUGGGCAGGCUAAGCCGUGUCCGCCAGGGUGGCGGGGGUGAGUAGGUGUGACCCUGGGGAGGGAGCACAGCCCAGGAUCUGGGGACCAGAGUCAGCAGAGAGGUGCUGGGGCUCGUGGGGCAACACCUCCUGGGGCGGAGCAGGGGACACUGGCCUGCCACUAACCUCAGCCCCAGGGCCUCAGGAGCCAUGCCCGGCUCACCCGGGCCAGGUCUGGGAGAGGCAGAAGGAAGCACAGCCCCCGGGCCUGGGUAGGGGCCUGGCCUUCCCCGGAGCCUCCCCUUCCUUUCCAUUGUCCCCCAUCCCUUCCCCAGUCCUGAGAGAUGGCCCCCUGAGCCCCGGCAGCAGUUUGCCCACUUCCUGCCCUCGCUCCAGCUGGCCUCCCCCGCAGCCCUGCCCCACCCUGCCUUCAGGGCCACAGCAGCCCUUCACGUCCCCAGAGGCUCUCUGCAAACGUCAGUCCUCCAUGAGGACCUUCCCAGUCCCCUGAACCAGGGAGAGCCAUCAUCCUUCCUCCCCAAGAUGCCAUUCCUCUGGUACAGCAUUGGUGACGUGUGUCCUGUGUGACAGUGUGGCCCUUCCAGCCACUUGGCUGCUGUUUCUGCUCUCCUGGUGCUGAGGUGGGGGCACAAGGAGGAGGAGAGGGUGCCCAGGCUGACCCCUUGGUCCACUCCUGACCAGUACAACACCAGGUACCACAGAAGAGGAGGACCAGCAAGGCACUGGGGGGUUCAGGGGAGGAUCUCUGUGCCCCGCGGCUGUAGGAGGCGGUGCUUGCAGUUGCAGGAGGGACGAGGUGGCCAUGUGGAAUGGCCCUUCUAUUAUAACAGCCAACUCAGUGUAGGGAGGCGGCUGGGCGGCCACCGUGACCCCUGUUCUCGUGGGGCCACAGUUCCUUGCUCAGCGCCCCCUCCAACCCGAGGGGAAUCUUGUGCAGUGUCCCUGUCCCCUGCAGGCUCUUCUGCAGGACAAAGGAUGACAACCCUCAAGCUUACAGACUGAUGAGACCGAGUCGGGUGCAGGGACGUUUGUCACGUUGCAGAGUGACAAAGAGGAAGAACGUCUAAGAGAAGAGGUGGAAACCCUGUCUCCGAGAGAUCCUGUCCCAAACCACAGUGUCCCAGGGUCCAGUGGGCAGUGCCUGGUCCUGGGAAUGGAGAUCUGUGUGGAUGGCUCCCUUAUUGGCCAGGAGGAGCAGGAGAAGUGGCUCUGGGAGCUCGCCGCCGUGCAUUCUGCUGUUUUUCUGAUUCCUUUCUCAGCAGAAUCACUACUGGAGUCUGGGAAAGCUAUGGGUCUGUGUACGUUGACCUUGGAUCCUGUCCUCUGCUGAACUUGUUUAUCAGGUGUCUUCUGGUGGAGUCUUGCAUCUUCCAGAUACAGGAUGAGAACAUCAUAAUAAGUGAAUGGAAAGAAGACAGAAGAGUAGAGAGGGGCAGACAGGCAGAAGGACGAGGGAGGAAGGAGGAAGCACUGGGGACUUAAAUGGAGCAAACCAUCCACGCGUGUGUGGUCAUGUCAAAAUGAACCCGUCAUGUUACGUGUGACUAUGUUGCCUGGUCACAUUCGAGUUGCGGCCAACGAUCGUGGAAAGACCCCCAGCUUGCUUGUCACUAGGGGAAUGCAAAUGAAACCACCAGGAGAUCCACUUCACACCUUCUGCGAUGGGCAGACCCAGACAGAGUUUGGCAAGUGCCGGCGGGGACAUGGAGAAAUCGACACCCUGCACAUUCCUGGUAGGAGUGUCGAGUGCUGCAACCCAAAUGGAAAGCCGUCCAGUGGUUCCUCAAUAUAAAUAUAAAAUUACUUUUGUGACUCAGCAAUUCCACUCCAUGGUACCUACACCAAAGAAUUGGAAAAAACAAAAUACUUGUCCGUGAGUGUUCAUAGCCGCAGUAUUCAUCAGAGCCCAAAGCUGGAAGGAACCCCAAUGUCUGGAUAAGUGGAAAGACAAAUACUGGCCCCUCUACCUUUAGGCCCACAGUGACCCCCAAAGGAGCCACCCUGGGGACCAAGCCUGUUGCACAUGGGCCUUCGGGGGACACUCACAGUCAAACGGAAGCAGCUUCCUUGGGUGAUGAGAAACGUCCUGGAACCAGGUAGAGUGGUGGGCGACACUGUGGGUGUGCUAAAUGCCAUCUGGAACCCUGACUUCCACUGUGGCCCAGGCACGUAUAAAAUCCAGGUAGCGCCUGGGCACUGGGCUCCCAGCGGGCGACUCGGGGCUGCUGUGGUGGGUAAAGAUGGGGCUCUCCUCUGGCCUCCUACAGCUCAGGAAUAAUGGUUUGGGGGACAGAGUAGGGUAGUGGCCAAACUCCCCCCGGGAGCUGCCUUGGGAAUCACAGAAGAGCAAGAACCCCAGGGUGACAGGAAGGGUGAGCCACGCACAACUCCUCCCCUGCCACCCCACCCCACACCACCUCCUGUCCAGCAUCCUGGCCCGCAACCUGGAGGUGACCCUGGAUGGUGGCAUGUCCGCCAGCUCCUCCCCUCCCGGCAGGCCCCUGGAGGGCCAGUCGGGCUGUACGUGGCUCCCAGUCCUGGAGGAAGCUCAGGGACAGCCCAGGUGUGGCGAGUGGGUCUUCCUGGGCUAGAUAGUGGGCAGCUCACCCGAGGGCACAGUCUGGUCUCUCCUGCCACUGACAGAUGUGCUGUGCCUUCUGUGCACGGUGCCAUACUGGCCCAGGAGGCUGUGACCAACCACUGGCCCCUGUGGCCCCUGACCUACCUGAUGCCUGACCCCCCUCCCCACCCCAAGCUACAGCCUCCUCAAUCCUCUUCUGUGCCUCGGGGGCUCCUCUGUCCUCCAUCCACACUCCCCUGAGUUGGGGGGCAGCCACUGACAUACCUGAGCUCAGGUGGGCAGUCUAAUUUGGCUGAGAGUGGCCUGGGAGGGACACGCGUGGGACAGGUGGUGGAGGGCAGAGCAGGGGCCCCUGGCUUGUGUAGUCCACCAGAUCCGGAGAACCAGGGUGCCCAGUGUAUGGUCCCUGCACCACCCAGGGAGGGCCCAACAGGCUCCUGCAGGGGAGGUGAGAUUGGACUCCUUGUCCUUGCCUCAGGAGGUCGCAGGACCCCCCAGCCAGGGACUCCUCCCUCCUCUGGACAGGUCCACCCUCCCCCAAGGGCAGCCACUCGUAUCUUUGUAAGCACAACCCUCAGCUCUGGCCCCAUCUGGAACAAGGACAGAGAAGUGGAUUCAUGAAGGACUUGUAUAAACCUCGGGGACGGGAGAAGCCCUUCCCCUCCUCACAGCCUCAGAGAAACCUCUCUGGACAGAAGUGGCUCUCCAGGGUUGUGCUGAGGGCCCUCGAUCCUGACAUUACCAGCAAAGAGCAACCCCACCCCACCCCCCAAACUCGAGGAGCUGGAAACAGAUGUGCAAAGUCUCUGGGGACCUUCAUCCAGAGCGGGCGCCCCCCCCCCCGCCCCCCCUGCCCCUGGCCACAGGAACCAAAACCAUCCUUGGGAAGAGAGGAUAAUUAAUUCAAAAAGCCCACACCCCGGCCUCGGCCCUUUGACAAGGGGGAGGAGGGAGGCCAGGGAGAGCGCUGGGAGUCUAUUGCAUGAUCCCUGUCUCCUUCCAGCCCUAAUGAGACUCCCGGGCAUUAUCCCUGCGUGCAUUGUCUAGGGCAGCCGGAGAAGGGCGAGACCAACUUUAUUUCUGAAUUUGGACUGACUGAAAGAAGUGGCAUCACAUUUGAAGGGCACCCAAUCAAUCUGUUGCCCUCACUGCAUGAAAUUGUAUUCGCUUACCACUUCCUAUCUUGCCGGGCGCAGCUGGGCUGUAAGUCAUUGGUGAUAACAUUCUUUAUUAUGCCGUCGUGUUUAUGAACUGUGCCUGGAAAGAGAUGAUAGAAAUAUGCGGCAAUAUGCAAAGGAAGGGGGAGGGGGAGGGGGAGCAAAUGCUAGUUGCCAGGGCAACCGUGGGGCUAUUUUGGGCAUCGGAUUUUGCAGAUGAUGGAAACCAUUUCCCUGCAGUGGUUGGACUCUCCCCUCCCCCUUCCUGGAGGCAAUAAACGCAGAACCGAAUAUUUAGGAAGGAGAUGGCUUAAUUUCUUAAUUAAAUGUUAUUAUAUUCUUUC